GACGAACGCUGGCGGCGUGCUUAACACAUGCAAGUCGAACGGAAAGGCCCUGCUUGCAGGGUACUCGAGUGGCGAACGGGUGAGUAACACGUGGGUGAUCUGCCCUGCACUUCGGGAUAAGCCUGGGAAACUGGGUCUAAUACCGGAUAGGAGCCAUUUUUAGUGUGAUGGUUGGAAAGUUUUUUCGGUGUAGGAUGAGCUCGCGGCCUAUCAGCUUGUUGGUGGGGUAAUGGCCUACCAAGGCGGCGACGGGUAGCCGGCCUGAGAGGGUGGACGGCCACAUUGGGACUGAGAUACGGCCCAGACUCCUACGGGAGGCAGCAGUGGGGAAUAUUGCACAAUGGGCGCAAGCCUGAUGCAGCGACGCCGCGUGGGGGAUGACGGCCUUCGGGUUGUAAACUCCUUUCGCUAGGGACGAAGCUUUUGUGACGGUACCUAGAUAAGAAGCACCGGCUAACUACGUGCCAGCAGCCGCCGUAA
rnacentral:rRNA from 1 species